CAUCGCUCAUAAUAUAUAACGAGUUAAUAGUUGACUUCAAUGUUCCAAAAGCUCACAACUUCAAACAACAAGAAUUGCUAUUUUUUUGCUAACAACCAGACAGCAGAUCUGGUUUAUGAUCUUAGUUCGUUUCCCCUUUUGUACAAGAUAAAUGGUCCAAGAAUUUUUCUUUGUCAAGAGGUCCGGCAAUUUGCUAAUUCUAGAUCGGAAAUUUUCAGUUUUGUUUUGAUAAGAGUGAUCGCGGGCUCGGUUUGGAAAAUAUAACGAAGAAUGGAGGUGUAGAAAAAGUAAAAUUUGGAAGAAACCUAGUUGUUGGUAUGUGUGGCAUAGGAAGUAUAGCUCCCCGGAAUUGCUAUUUUUCAUUAAAAUCAUUAUGUCGAUCCGCUUUCAAAGGCACGUCUCUUAUACAUAAAUAUGAUUUCCAUGAUGCAAGUUAUCUGAAAUUCUUUUAAUGAUGAAAAUGAAACCACUGAUUUUCUUUUCCUUUGUAAAUCAGGUUCUGGCACGAGUAAUUUUAAAAUAUGGUGUAUAGUAUUCAUUGACUUUGUAAAAUCAUUUCAUCUGUUUGUAAAGACUAGUUGAUUAAAUCGUCAAAUUGUUAAUGAACUCCCUUUAUUUCAAUGAAUUGAUUUUUGAGCUACUAUGGGUAAAAGAAUUUAACGUUUACACUUAUAUUUGAUUAUAUUAAUUUGCUUAAGAAUUAUGCUUUUAAGUAAUGUUUGAUUACUUUAUUGAAUGUAUACGGUCGAAUAUGGUAGUUUUUGGGAAGCUAAUACACAAUUCCCAUUCUCUUUGCAGCAUAUAUAAGCUACACGACUAUGGGGAAGCAACUCGUAAUAGUAGCAAUAUAAAGUGCUUCACCACUUCCAAAAAGAGUAGAUGGCAACAUAAAUAAACUCAACUUUUUAUGGAAAAAAAGCCGUGAACAACAACUUGAGAUCUUGGCUUGAGUUACAAGUACUAUCAAAAUCUCAAGUCACGUGCUUCCUCCAUCAUGACCAUCACCAUAUAAAAGAAAGUUGUGGUAUCAUAUGUCAAGGUUCUGUCCGUUGGAAACCAAUAUCAACGAGUAUUUAUUUACUAUGAGAAGAAAUAUUGAGGAAUUUCUAAUGAGGAUAGAAUAUGAAUAUCAUUUGUGUUAUGCAAAUAAAUUUAUCAAGAGAUAGAGACGAAUUAUUCAAAUGCUACUAUGAAUAUUAGCUGGAAUCAUGUGUAUUAGCUGAAAAUAUAUACCAGAAAUAUACUUCUUUGUGCUGUCCAAUUUCUACAUGCUAAAUAUGUCCUCAUAGUUGGAAUUAUACCAGAUCUGCAAUGAGCAUUGCUAAAUCUAGC
rnacentral:lncRNA from 1 species